rnacentral:rRNA from 2 species
UGGGGGAUAACGUAGCGAAAGUUACGCUAAUACCGCAUACGAUCUAAGGAUGAAAGUGGGGGAUCGCACAAGACCUCAUGCUCGUGGAGCGGCCGAUAUCUGAUUAGCUAGUUGGUAGGGUAAAAGCCUACCAAGGCAUCGAUCAGUAGCUGGUCUGAGAGGACGACCAGCCACACUGGAACUGAGACACGGUCCAGACUCCUACGGGAGGCAGCAGUGGGGAAUUUUGGACAAUGGGCGAAAGCCUGAUCCAGCAAUGCCGCGUGAGUGAAGAAGGCCUUCGGGUUGUAAAGCUCUUUUGUCAGGGAAGAAACGGUGAGAGCUAAUAUCUCUUGCUAAUGACGGUACCUGAAGAAUAAGCACCGGCUAACUACGUGCCAGCAGCCGCGGUAAUACGUAGGGUGCAAGCGUUAAUCGGAAUUACUGGGCGUAAAGCGUGCGCAGGCGGUUUUGUAAGUCUGAUGUGAAAUCCCCGGGCUCAACCUGGGAAUUGCAUUGGAGACUGCAAGGCUAGAAUCUGGCAGAGGGGGGUAGAAUUCCACGUGUAGCAGUGAAAUGCGUA